rnacentral:rRNA from 1 species
UAGGGAAUCUUCGGCAAUGGGGGGAACACUGACCGAGCAACGCCGCGUGAGUGAAGAAGGUUUUCGGAUCGUAAAGCUCUGUUGUUAAGGAAGAACGAGUGUGAGAAUGGAAAGUUCAUACUGUGACGGUACUUAACCAGAAAGGGACGGCUAACUACGUGCCAGCAGCCGCGGUAAUACGUAGGUCCCGAGCGUUGUCCGGAUUUAUUGGGCGUAAAGCGAGCGCAGGCGGUUAGAUAAGUCUGAAGUUAAAGGCAGUGGCUCAACCAUUGUAGGCUUUGGAAACUGUUUAACUUGAGUGCAGAAGGGGAGAGUGGAAUUCCAUGUGUAGCGGUGAAAUGCGUAGAUAUAUGGAGGAACACCGGUGGCGAAAGCGGCUCUCUGGUCUGUAACUGACGCUGAGGCUCGAAAGCGUGGGUAGCAAACAGG